UACAGGGGGGGCAAGCGUUGUUCGGAAUUACUGGGCGUAAAGGGUCUGUAGGUGGCCAACUAAGUCAGACGUGAAAUCCCUCAGCUUAACUGGGGAACCGCGUCUGAUACUGGAUGGCUUGAGUGUGGGAGAGGAAUGCGGAAUUCCAGGUGUAGCGGUGAAAUGCGUAGAUAUCUGAAGGAACAUCAGUGGCGAAAGCGACUUCCUGGACCAAUACUGACGCUCAUGUGCGAAAGCGUGGGGAGCAAACAGG
rnacentral:rRNA from 1 species